CUAAGCCAUGCGAGUUAACGUAGCAAUACGUGGCACACGGCUCAGUAACACGUGGUCAACAUACCCAGAGGACGUGGAUAACCUCGGGAAACUGAGGAUAAACCGCGAUAGACCAUAAUGUCUGGAAUGAUUUAUGGUUCAAAUCUAUAUGGCCUCUGGAUUGGACUGCGGCCGAUCAGGCUGUUGGUGAGGUAAUGGCCCACCAAACCUGAAACCGGUACGGGCUCUGAGAGGAGAAGCCCGGAGAUGGGCACUGAGACAAGGGCCCAGGCCCUAUGGGGCGCAGCAGGCGCGAAACCUUUGCAAUAGGCGAAAGCCUGACAAGGUUACUCUGAGUGAUCUCCGCUAAGGAAAUCUUUUGACACCUCUAAAAAUGGUGUAGAAUAAGGGGUGGGCAAGCCUGGUGUCAGCCGCCGCGGUAAUACCAGCACCCCGAGUGGUCGGGACGAUUAUUGGGCCUAAAGCAUCCGUAGCCGGUUCUUUAAGUCCUCCGUUAAAUCCACCUGCUUAACAGAUGGGCUGCGGAGGAUACUAUAGAGCUAGGAGGCGGGAGAGGCAAGCGGUACUCAGUGGGUAGGGGUAAAAUCCGUUGAUCCAUUGAAGACCACCAGUGGCGAAGGCGGCUUGCCAGAACGCGCUCGACGGUGAGGGAUGAAAGCUGGGGGAGCAAACCGGAUUAGAUACCCGGGUAGUCCCAGCUGUAAACGAUGCAGACUCGGUGAUGAACAGGCUUCGUGCCUGUUCAGUGCCGCAGGGAAGCCGUUAAGUCUGCCGCCUGGGGAGUACG
rnacentral:rRNA from 1 species